ensembl:snRNA U6 U6 spliceosomal RNA
GUACUCACUGUGGCGGCACUUAUACUAAAAUUGGAAUGGUACAGAGAAGAUCAGCAUGGCCCUUGCACAAGGAUGACAGGCAAA